AGGGAGAAAUACCCAAACCCGAACACUGAAGUACUUUCAAUCUUAGGUCUCCUACCAGAGCUACUUCAAGGAUCAAGAGGAGUGGUCUGAGCAUUUGGAUCGUUCGUUUUCGCCAAGAAACGGGCAAGAACGCGAGGCGAUCGGCGACGGACACGCGGCGGUCGGAAAGGAAGGAGGCGCGUCUGGCAACAAGGGGGACACGGGUCGAGCACUCGGUGGAGAGACGCGUCUGACACCUGCGCUGACACGCGUCCAACAGCUGACCCAGAAACCCAACCCGCACUCCGUGAAGCAACCCGAUGACCCGUAGUCCAACCCGAAACCUACCGCCAGUCCCUGCAUGAUAGGUGUCACGCCCAAAAUAUUCGAGGGGUUACUGCAGAGAGAAUUCGUAAAUUUGGGACUCAGUUAAGACUAUAAAUCAAGUUCGGGAAGACACGCGACAGACUUGUAAGUAACCAUAUGGAAUUAGGAAGUAAUACUUGUCGGUUGCGCUUGAUUUUGCAUGCAUGCUAGAGCAAACUACUCCUAGGUGGCUAGAUCUGAUAAUCCUCUGUACUUAGGAAAUUAAAUAUAUAUAUCUCCUUUGUCCUUCAUACUCGAUGUUUGUAUGCUUGCUGGACUAUCUUACUACCACUUUUAUUUGUUCAUACUAUGUUGGCGGAUGAGAGAAUUUGUGUAUCUAUGCUCCAGGUGUUGAUGAAUGUUAUUGACCCGUUCAACUUGUAUGACUGUAUGCAUUAUUACUCAUACAUA